CGGGGGGUGCGAGCGUUGUCCGGAAUCACUGGGCGUAAAGGGCGCGUAGGUGGUCUGAUAAGGGUGUGGUGAAAGCCCGGGGCUCAACCCCGGGUCGGCCGUGCCGACUGUUAGACUAGAGUGCUGUAGGGGCAGGCGGAAUUCCGGGUGUAGCGGUGGAAUGCGUAGAGAUCCGGAGGAAGACCGGUGGCGAAGGCGGCCUGCUGGGCAGAUACUGACACUGAGGCGCGACAGCGUGGGGAGCAAACAGGAUUAGAUACCCUGGUAGUCCACGCCGUAAACGAUGGGUACUAGGUGCCUGGGGGAGCGACCCCUUGGGUGCCGGCGCUAACGCAGGAAGUACCCCGCCUGGGGAGUACGGCCGCAAGGCUG
rnacentral:rRNA from 1 species